rnacentral:misc_RNA from 1 species
GAUGAAGAACGCAGCGAAAUGCGAUAAGUAAUGUGAAUUGCAGAAUUCAGUGAAUCAUCGAAUCUUUGAACGCACAUUGCGCCCGCCAGCAUUCUGGCGGGCAUGCCUGUUCGAGCGUCAUUUCAACCCUCGAGCCCCCCCGGGGGCCUCGGUGUUGGGGGACGGCACACCAGCCGCCCCCGAAAUGCAGUGGCGACCCCGCCGCAGCCUCCCCUGCGUAGUAGCACACACCUCGCACCGGAGCGCGGAGGCGGUCACGCCGUAAAACGCCCAACUUUCUUAGAGUUGACCUCGGAUCAGGUAGGAAUACCCGCCGAACUUAAGCAUAUCAAUAAGCGGAGGA